GUAGAUAUCGGGAGGAACACCAGAGGCGAAGGCGGUUCUGUAGGCAGAUCCUUACACUGAGGCACGAAAGCUAGGGGAGCGAACGGGAUUAGAUACCCCAGUAGUCCUAGCUGUAUACGAUGGGCACUAGAUGUUUCCGCGUCUUAGCGGGAGUGUUGAAGUUAACGCGAUAAGAGCACUGCCUGAGGAUUACGGUCGCAAGGGUGAAACUCAAAGGAAUUAACGGAAGUCAGCACAAGCGGUGCAGCAUGUGGUUUAAUUGGAUGCAUCGCGAAGAACCUUACCUGGGUUUCAACUGCUGGGUUUAGCUUCGUGAAAGGGAAGUGAACCUGCUUCCAUGAGACCAGCAGAGAGUGCUGCAUGGCUGUCGUCAGCAUCGUCUCGUGAGAUGUUGGGUUAAUUAGUGCAAUGAGAGCAACCCUCCCUUUAUUUGCUACCAGAGUCAUGUCUGGUACUCUAAGGGGAAAGCCACGGAUUACGUGGAGGAAGGUGGGGGUGAGGUCAAAUCAGCACGGCCUUUAUGUUCAGGGCGACACACAUGCUUCAAUAGGCGGCACAAAAAGACGGGAAACCACAAGGU
rnacentral:rRNA from 1 species